rnacentral:lncRNA from 1 species
CGCCGCGCCUCCGUCCCUCCCGGCCGCGUCCCCGAGCGCUGUGCGGAGCCCCGCGGGAGCCCUGGAAGGCCCUCCCGGCUGGGGUGCAGCAGCGAUGGCUUGGGUGCGCGUCCAGAGAGGAGAACGUUCCAGAGGCCCUCUGACGUUUAACUCUGAAGCUGGAUAUGCAUUAAACCUUUUUCAUCGCUCUCUAGAAUUGGGGAUAUCUUCACUGAAUAACUUGCUGCUUAAAGAAAGUAACAGAAGUUGGGAAAUUCAGGUUCACGUAACGCUAGGGACCAAAGAAGCAUACGUAAUAUUUCUCUGGUGCUGGGAUCAACCUUCUGGAAGAAGACUCUACAAUAACUUUUUGCCUUCAAGUUCUUUGUCCUGGGACUGA